GUGCUCACUUCAGCAGCACACAUACUAAAGCUGGAACGAUACAGAGAAGAUUAGCAUGGCCCCUGUACAAGGAUGGCAUGCAAAUUCGUGAAGUAUAUCAUAAUUUU
ensembl:snRNA U6 U6 spliceosomal RNA